CUGGGCUGGGUGGCUAAGGGACGAAGCGAGUGAGGGGGUUUGGGGAGCCGUGGGAGUCGCCGUGAUGAGGAUGUGGGCUUGUUGGGGGAGGUCUGGGAGCCAGCCUCUAGGUCCUCUCUUGCUUCGUCGGUUGAGGGUGACCAGGAUGUGGUACUGCUGAUUCAGCCUACCAAGAAUGGUCUGGGGAGCACAGAAAUAAAGUGAACAGAGUGACACGUUACUUCUCCUGGCUGACCUAAGCUGAAUAUACAGUCUGUAACCGUGGCAGUUUUGCACAGAGAAGUCAUGGGGAUGGCUGGGUCAGAGGACACAAAGUUCCUGUAAAGUCUAAAAGGAAAGUGAAAGGUCUGGGGUGGAAGCUCCGGGGUCAGCAUAAGCUUCUUCAUAGCUGAAAGGAGGAGAGAACCCAGCUUUUGCCAAGGGCAUCUGCUAAGAUUCUUGAGCACGGAAGAUACGGGCAGUGGGAAGCGAGCAGUUGAAAGGUACAGCUUGG
rnacentral:lncRNA from 1 species